GAAGCACCUCGUUCGGUGAGGCUUCUGUGCGGACACAGGCCACUGACCCCCCAACGUCGAGAGACGUUCCGGGUCAGGACAGGUCUCCCCGGCCUAAGGGGUGACCCCAAGUGGCUUCCCGGCAACGGGAUACGCCGUGCAGUGCCAAAGCUCUGACGAGAGGGGUGUGCG
rnacentral:sRNA from 2 species